GUAACUGGGAUUAUUUGUGCUGCUGUUCUCUGUGGGCAUUGCAUCACUUGUGUCUUGUAGAUUGGCAUCUGGAGAACCAUCAGACAUCAGUGGAUGAAGGUCACUGGGAAGGCUGAUGUUGCUGUGCUCAAGUACUGCUGCAUCGUUUUUGUCAAGGAGAUUGGUGUCUAGAUACGCAUCAGACAUUGAUGGAUGAAAGUUACUGGGAUUAUUUGCACUGCUAUUCUCUGUGCACACUGCAUCACUUUUUUCUUGCAGAUUGGUGCCUGGAGAACCAUCAAGGUUACUGGGAAGGCUUAUGCUGCUAUGCUCGAAGACUGCUGUAUCAUUUUUGUCAAGGAGAUUGGUGUCUAGAUAAGCAUCGGACACUGAUGGAUGAAGGUUACUGGGAUUAUUAGCGCUGCUAUUCUCUGUGGGCACUGCAUCACUUUUUUCUUGUAGAUUGGUGUCUGGAGAACCAUCAGACAUCAGUGGAUGAAGGUCACUAAGCUCGAGUACUGCUGCACCAUUUUUGUCAAGGAGAUUGGUGUCUGCAUAAGCGUCAGAUAUUGAUGGAUGAAGGUCACUGGGAUCAUUUGCGCUGCUAUUCUCUGUGGGCACUAGAUCACUUUU
rnacentral:lncRNA from 1 species